rnacentral:rRNA from 1 species
UACGGAGGGGGCUAGCGUUGUUCGGAAUUACUGGGCGUAAAGCGCACGUAGGCGGCUUUGUAAGUUAGAGGUGAAAGCCCGGGGCUCAACUCCGGAAUUGCCUUUGAGACUGCAUCGCUAGAAUUGUGGAGAGGUAAGUGGAAUUCCGAGUGUAGAGGUGAAAUUCGUAGAUAUUCGGAAGAAACACCAGUGGCGAAGGCGACUUACUGGACACAUAUUUGACGCUGAGGUGGCGAAAAGCGUGGGGGAGCAAACAGG